UACAGGGGGUGCGAGCGUUAAUCGGAAUUACUGGGCGUAAAGCGUGCGUAGACGGUCAAGUAAGUCGGGUGUGAAAGCCCCGGGCUCAACCUGGGAAUUGCAUUCGAGACUGCGUGGCUAGGGUGCGGAAGAGGGAAGCGGAAUUUCCGGUGUAGCGGUGAAAUGCGUAGAUAUCGGAAGGAACACCAGUGGCGAAAGCGGCUUCCUGGUCCAGCACCGACGUUCAGGCACGAAAGCGUGGGGAGCAAACAGG
rnacentral:rRNA from 1 species